UUGUCUCUUUCUUUAGGACUGGUUUGAAUUUAAUUAAAUGACACACUGGACUAAGGGAUUGAAUGUUCUGUCUAUCACGUGCUCAUGACUGACACACGAGAACAGGAAGAACAUCUACAGUACUUUUCUUUAUUGUGAAUAAAGGAGGCGACAUGUCGAGACCACCUUCGCAGACCACACCGCAGACCUACAGGGUGAGCGACAAAGACCUAACUGAGAUUGAGCUCCAUUCUGUGGACUCCAUCAACGACCUUCACCGGACACACCCUGACCACAACCAUAAGGGAUCGAGGCCACCCCGCCCAACUUAUACACCUUCCGUGAAUGGAAACCCACCUGUGCAUCACAUGACCAGUGUGGGCGGAGGAGGCGGCAAAUGGCAGAGUCGUCUUCAGGACAUGUUGACUCCCAGCUCAUCACGAGCGUACGCC